UACGAAGGGUGCAAGCGUUACUCGGAAUUACUGGGCGUAAAGCGUGCGUAGGUGGUUCGUUAAGUCUGAUGUGAAAGCCCUGGGCUCAACCUGGGAAUGGCAUUGGAAACUGGCGACCUAGAGUGCGGUAGGGGGAUCUGGAAUUCCUGGUGUAGCGGUGGAAUGCGCAGAUAUCAGGAGGAACACCGGUGGCGAAGGCGGGAUCCUGGGCCAGUACUGACGCUGAGGAGCGAAAGCGUGGGGAGCAAACAGG
rnacentral:rRNA from 1 species